UCAAAGGAAUUGACGGGGGCCCGCACAAGCGGCGGAGCAUGCGGAUUAAUUCGAUGCAACGCGAAGAACCUUACCAAGGCUUGACAUACACCGGUAACGCCCAGAGAUGGGUGCCCCCUUUGUGGUCGGUGUACAGGUGGUGCAUGGUUGUCGUCAGCUCGUGUCGUGCGAUGUUGGGUUAAGUCCCGUAACGAGCGCAACCCUUGUCCUUAGUUACCAGCACGUAAUGGUGGGCACUCUAAGGAGACUGCCGGUGACAAACCGGAGGAAGGUGGGGAUGACGUCAAGUCAUCAUGGCCCUUACGGCCAGGGCUACACACGUGCUACAAUGGUCGGUACAGAGGGUUGCCAAACCGCGAGGUGGAGCUAAUCUCACAAAACCGAUCGUAGUCCGGAUCGCAGUCUGCAACUCGACUGCGUGAAGUCGGAAUCGCUAGUAAUCGUGAAUCAGAAUGUCACGGUGAAUACGUUCCCGGGCCUU
rnacentral:rRNA from 1 species